UGAGGAAUAUUGCGCAAUGGGGGCAACCCUGACGCAGCGACGCCGCGUGAGUGAGGAAGGCCUUCGGGUCGUAAAGCUCUGUCAAAGGGAAAGAAGUGCAUGGUGGCUAAUACCUGCCAUGUUUGACGGUACCCUUAAAGGAAGCACCGGCUAACUCCGUGCCAGCAGCCGCGGUAAUACGGAGGGUGCAAGCAUUGUUCGGAAUUACUGGGCGUAAAGGGCGCGUAGGCGGUUUGAUAAGUCAGAUGUGAAAGCCCACGGCUUAACUGUGGAAGUGCAUUUGAAACUGUCAGACUUGAGUACCAGAGGGGAAAGUGGAAUUCCCGGUGUAGAGGUGAAAUUCGUAGAUAUCGGGAGGAAUACCGGUGGCGAAGGCGGACCUCUGGAACGCAACUGACGCUGAGGCGCGAAAGUCGGGGGAGCAAACA
rnacentral:rRNA from 1 species